GUGUGGAUAUUCAACUUGUAGAUAUUGCCAAAUUAUUUUCCAAAGUUGUACAAAUUUAUACAAGCCAGGGAAAUAAACACACACGAUCAUCACAUACAAACAAGCGUGUGUGUGUGUAUGUGUAUGUGUGUCUGUGUGUGUGUUGAAUUGCCUUUCUUUGGCAUAGAGCUUUGGAGAACAUCUUGCUGGUAUUUCUAAAUGCAGUUGAAUGACAAUGUGGCAACAUCUUUAAUAUAAGAAAAAAAGGAAGAAAAGGGAAAAAAAGGAAAAAUAAGGUAGACCUCCCAAGGAUAAAAGCUUGCUGGUUACUUACCAGUAAAGUCAAAAAUUAUUAAAAAAAAAAAAAAAAUUCUUGAAGUCUCUAUUAUUCAGGAAUGAUUAUUCACAUCUCUUGCUUCAGCCACACAUUCCUUACCUCUUCUGAAUGGAUAUGUAUUUAAUGAUUUGAAAUCCAGAGUGAACUUAGUAGCUUUGAUCAUGAAAAUGAACUAAAAUUAAUUUUACGGUUAACUGACAUGAUGUCCAGCUAGUUACUGAACUUGAUGGUCUGCCCUUCUAGUGUGGCUCUGAGUUUCCAUGAGCUUUGGAAGAAGUUGGCAUCCAUUUGUUCAAUUACCAGCCCACUGUCAGGUCACUUCCAGAGAGAGGUGACCAGUGUAUGUGUCUCAUGUGGAGGUGACGUGGGCACAUGGAGUGCCUUUCUUCUUCAUUCAGCCAGCAUUUAUUGAACACGUGGUAUGUGCCAGAUGCUGAAUUAGGUGCUGGGUCAUGAACAUGUCUGCCCAAAAGACUCUACCAGAACCAAAUCACUGUUGAAUAUGUAUGCAUGUGUGUGGGGUGGAUCUGGCUUUGGUUUCAGAAUUUGCAUGAAGUAUCUAUUUUUUCUUUUGUUCCCUAAACUUUUUCCAGAUUUAUGUUUAGACCUCCUUGAGUUGAGAGCGCUUUGGGGAAAAAAAAAAAAAAUGCAGCCCAUGCAAAGAACAGUUAGUUUAAACGUAGUUGUAUUUUAUUGGCUUUUUAAAAGUGGAAGGCUUUAAAAGGACUUACUCAGGAUAAGUCCUUUUGUCAUGCAGACACUUGAGUGUUACCAAAUAGGAGGAAGACAGAGGUCAGGGAAGGGCUCUUUGGAUGGGUGAAUUCAGAUUUGUUGGGAACAUAAUUUAGUGUUGAAUUGAUUUUUAAAGGGAAAAAUAGAAAAUAGACAAAGAUGAAUGUUUAUUGAGAGACCCAAUGUGGUAUUACAGGGAAUUGAGUCUAUUGAGUCAUGACGAUCUAAAGAUGAAGUUCCUGGUGGGUUAUAGGAAUCCGUUUUCUUGUAAGUUUGUGUUUACUUAUUUUGGGUAUGUGUAAAUGUACUUUUUAUUUAUUUAUUUAUCUUUUGCUUUUUAGGGCCACACCCGCAGCAUAUGGAGGUUCCCAGGCCAGGGGUCAAAUCAGAGCUGCAGUUGCUGUACUACACCACAGCCACAGCAACGCCAGAUCUGAGCCACAUCUGUGACCUACACCGCACCUCAUGGCAAUGCUGGAUCCUUAACCCACUGAGCAAGGCCAGGGAUCAAACCCACAUCCUCAUGGAUCCUAGUCAGGUUUGUUAACCGCUGAGCCACGAAGGGAACUCCUAAAUGUACUUUUUAUAGUAAAAUAAAUCAGAGUGUAAAUGUUAAAUAUCUGUAAACGGAUUAUGUUAAUGGGGUGGUGAAUUAUGGGAAGCAGAAACGUCCAAGGACUCUUACAGUGCUCUGGCAGAUUACUUCAAAGUAAAAACUACCUUAUGUGAGGGAAUUCCAUCCGACGGGGCUAGUGUCUCAAGAAAUCUGUAUAGGAAGCCGACAAAAGCCAGAGUGAGAAAGGAGCCCAAACCAAGAAGUUUGAUAUCCACGACUAUCUAAGGGAUCACUGGGUUAGAGAGAGCAUUAAGUUUAUAACUUAACUCUUAAAUAAGUUUAAGUAAGUAAAUAAAUAAUUAAGCUUAGGUAAAUAAAAAUGAGUUUAAAUAGGUAAAAAACAUUUAAGUAAAAUAUUGGCAGGCAGUCAUUUAACAUGUUUCACUGAGUACAAAGAAUUCAUGAUUAAUACACAAAAAUUACCUACUUUAUUAUUUUUAUGGCUGCACCUGCAGCAUAUGGAAGUUCUGCCAGGGAUGGAAUCCGAGCCCACAGCUGCAACCUAUGCCCCAGCUGCAGCAAUACUGGAUCAUUUAACCCAUUGCUCCUGGCCAGGGAUCAAACCCAUACUUCCCCAAGCAACCUGAGUUGCUACAGUCAGAUUCUUAAUCAACUCCACCAUGGUGGGAACUCCUUUCUUUUCCUUUAUUUGUAAAAUAUGUGAAGAAAGUACCCAGACACUAGAAAUACUUACAUUUGCUUGAUGUGGUGAUGCUUAAAUGACCUUUAUGUUAGAUUCAUAAGGUGUUAGAGCUGAAAGAGGUUUAAGAAACUUUUUUUUCCAAUUCUAACUUCUCCCAUUUUCCAGGUGGAAAAAUUGAGGCACAGAGACUUGCCCAGUGAGGCACAGCUCCAUUAGUAUAUAAUAUGUCAAAUAAUUUACAUCUGUUCAUGGUAAUAGGAAAUAAAACUCUUUCCUAAUUUUAGGUAGGUGAAUAAGAAAAUGAACCAAUAGCAACCUCUACAGUGGAUUUUAGGCUUCCUUUCUAUCAUUCUCCUUGAGUGCUUGGUACAGGAAGUGAAAUCAAACAUAUACUUUUAAAUUUCCUUAGAUUUCUAGAGAACAAAGGUUUUUGAGGGUAUGAUGAGGGAAUUAACCACCACAAAUAUCAUUAUUUAAAAUUUUCUGGUGUUUGCUAUUUCAAGACCCAUAGCUUUGUCUUUUAACUCAAUGGACAGGAAAGGACAGAAAAAAUUAAAUUAUCUUCUGCUUUUCUCUUUUCCCUUGUCAUUCUUUUUCCAUAAGCUAAUAUGAGACAAAAACAGAAGAAUAGAGGGAAUUGAGACAGGAAUAGAACAUCAACUCUUACCUUUUUUAUCUUGCAUCUUAUUGAGGCAAUUCUCACUGUAGCUCUUGAGACUGACCUAUCCACCUCCUGAAAAGAGUGUAGAAGUAGAAGGGGUAACAACGCAGUAUAUUUUUAGAAUCUUUUUUUUUUUUUUUCUCCAAAAGUCAAAUCUAAAAUAAACCUGGCCUCAAUUUCCAGCAAUAGAUUUAUUUCUCGGCUCCUAAAUCAGUGCUUAAGUUUUAUCAUAAAUUUGAAGAAGUUAUCCUGAUUUUUUUUUAAUGCACAAUACAGUGUUGCUACAAGUAACAUACUGUGAUCAACUACUGAAGUUUGAAGAAUGAAGUAUCUAGAAGAACAUUAAAAUGCAGAAGAUUUUGUUACAUGUCAUUUCUGGAGAUAAAGGCGAAAGUCUGAUUUUAUUUUAAAUUAAGAUAAGAUUUCUGUUUUCUGUUUAUCUGUGGCAGCUAGGCAAGCUUUUGCAUAUUCACACCCCAUCAGGCAACAAUCUGAACAGUUUUUGUUGUAUAAUUUCCCCAGAAUAGAAAAAGUAGCACAAUUUGAAUGGCAUGUUGAUUAUGAAAAGACAUUAAUGAAAUUCUUUUUGAUCUCAAUAAAUUUCAAUUUGAAGCAAGAACUAUAAAAAGAGUAUGAUCUCUGAUGUAGGCCAAGCAAAUGUAGGAUCUCUGUGAAACUCCAAGAAGAAAGCAAGGGAAAAGGAGAGAUCAAAACCCAUAAGAACUCAGGAUAAUGGAAUAGGCAGGUCAGGGAAGGAAGUACAUGGAUAUUCUAUCCCAGCUUGUCCUCCAGUUUCAUUUCAAAAAAUACCAGCAGAGAAAAUAAAAAGUGUGACUCUGAAGGCUUGUGGAGAUGAGAUAUUAUAGAAGAUGUCUACCUGGACUUUUUUUUAAAAAAGCUUUUAAACAUCUUGAAGAACACAGAGGCAUAAGGUAAAAGAUGGGUAAAUUAAACUUCAGGAGUUCCUGUCAUGGCUCAGCAGAAAUGAAUCUGACCAGUAUCCAUGAUGACGCAGGUUUUAUCCCUGGCCUCGUUCAGUGGGUUAAGGAUCUGGCAUUGCUAUGGUUGUGGCAUAGGCCAGCGGCUACAGAUGCAAUUCGACCCCUACCUGGGAAUCUCCAUAUGCCGUGCAUGUGGCCCUGAAAAGACGAAAAUAAAUAAACUUAAUUUAAGGAAAGGUAGUAUGUGUAACAGGCAGAAUAUAAACAAUCAUCACACCAAGGAGAAACUAUUUAUAAUGUAUCAUAGACUAAGGGUAACUCGUUAAUAUCCACAGAACUCCUCUGUAUCAGUGAGAUAAAUGACCUAAUAGAAAAAAGGAGCAAAGGAAAUGAACAAACAGUUCACUGAAAAGGAAUUACUAGCAGUACUUACAGAUAUGAUAUGCUCAGCUCAUAAGAGAAAUGCAUUUUUAAACUAUUUAGCCCUAUUAAAUUGGCAAAGACCUUAAUAUUUUUAAAUUCCUUCAGGGCAGCAAGGCUUUGGGGAAGCUGACAGACUCAUACAUUGUUUGUAGGGGUACAGAAUGGCACAGCAUCUGUGGAUAGCAAUUUGGAAUAUUGCCUAAAUUAAAAAUCCACCUACCUGGUCAUCCUAGGAUAUCUAAGAAAAAUUUCUGCAGAUGAAUUUCUGCAUCACAAAAUGAAUCCAUACCAAGACAUCCACUGUGGCAUUGCCUGUAAUAACAAAAGAUUUAGAGAGAGCUAAAUAUCCAUCAAGAUGAGAUUGGUUAAAUAAGGAGCUGUUAAAAAGAAUGAAAUCAUUCUGUAUUUGCUGAUGCGGAAUGAUCUCUCAGCUGUAAUAAAGGAAGAAACCAAGGUGCAGCAGAGUAUAUGGCCAUUGGUGUUAAAUAUGAGUUUAUAAAUAUGUGUUUAUGCUUGUGACUGUGGAGACUGGUAACACAAACUGGUAGCAGUGAUUGCCUCUGGGAAAGAGAACUGGGUAGUUGGGGUGGGAAUGGGAAGAACACUGUUUGGCACACUAAUUUAGUAGACCUUUAAUUACCAAUUUAAAAUAUCCGAACAGGGAGUUUCCAUCAUGGCGCAGUGGAAAUGAAUUCAACUAGGAAACCUGAGGUUACAUGUUCGACCCCCUGGCCUCUCUCACUGGGUUAAGGAUCCAGCGUUGCCCUGAGCUGUGGUGUAGGUCGCAGAUACAGCUCAGAUCUGGCAUUGCUGUGGCUAUGGUGUUGGCUGGCAGCUGUAGCUACAAUUGGACCUCUAGCCUGGGAACCUCCAUAUGCCAUGGGAGCGGCC
rnacentral:lncRNA from 1 species